CUCACGACCUUACCCGUCAGCCUUUGCGAUUCAUUGCCAUCCGCCAUUUUUCAGCCAGGACAGAAGCAACGAAGGUAAUCAUGCCGGUGCGACCGCAGGCAGAGUGGAACCUGAUCAUGCUCCUCACCAACUUUGGGAGAAACUGGUACCAGACCACCAAGCCAUACCUGUGGGAGUACAGAGAUGUAGGCCCAGGGCUGGUCAUCACUGGCUAUCUGUGGACCAAGAUCACUGCAGCUGGCUACAGGGCAAGGAGACAGAAGAGACUUGAGGGUGGUGCAAGUGGUGGACAUUAAGAGUGAUCUCAUCCCAGCAACAACACAAGCUAUCUCACAUACAUCUGAAGAUUGCUGCUGCCAACAAGCUGAUCCUGUUGACAAAAAGAUAGAUGACUCCAGCUAGUGUUUAGCAGAACCAUAACUUUCACUUAAACAACAUAGUGAUGUGUAAUCUGUUAAGAGAAAGGAUGUGCAUUGUUUGGAAGAUAUACACAAUGUAUUGGAGUGAAUUAAAUGUGUCUAAAAGUC